GAAAUAGGCACUCUGUCCGUCAAAAGAGUUGACUACUCCGCUGAUCAAUCCAACGCAAUAAUCCCGACUAGGCAUCAGGCUCGAUUCAUUGAUGACAUUAUGUCUUGACUUCCGAAAAGAUAGAUUUGACUCUGAUUCACCAGCAUCCACUACCGGAAGGAAUUGCCUUACUUACCGCCAGCUCUUCUUCCUGCCCGGAAACAAGAACUUUCUUUCAUGCCCUUUACCUUAAGCCUGACAAAGAUAGAAUCUUUCACUUGCCCUACCGCUUUCAUUGCCCGUAAAGACUCUAUCUCUACAGCUGCCUUCCCUUCUUUGAGCGCUAGCAGGUUGGCUAAGGUUAAAAGUGUUAGCACAGUGGGCAGAGACCCCAAAAGCUUGGCACGACCUCUUCAUAAUACUCGCCUUUGAAGGAAAGUCCGGUGAUAUCUCCCAUCUCCCAAAGCGAAAUUCCUUCUCUCCUUCCCAGAUGCAUCAUAGUAAUUAGAGAUAACGAAUGAGAUCUGAAAGAGGAUAUACUAAAAGCACAUAGAUCGUCGAAAUUGGAACCUUUUUCAACUCAGUUUAACCACCCCAUGUAUGUGCGCCAGUCUCUGUCUAGCUCGGGAAGGAAUUACGCUUCAAGAGAAGUGGGCGUCCUUAUAGACUGAUUUUCUUACCCCUUUCAGAAAGACUUUUGGAGCACCUGUUUAAGGAAGAAAAGAAAGACAAGUAUAGCUUAACUAACAUAACAUGUCGGACUUCUCAUCCUUCCGACCUAUCAGAGAUCGAUGGAAAGUCCGCUAUAGAAGAGCAUGCAUCAUCUGCUUAAAGAGAGAGGAUAGAGGAUAAGGAAGCGAAACCCUCUCUGUGAAAGCACCCAAUAAAGUCAGAGAUGCCCAUUCAUCGACCAACAUGCAUUUUUUAUAUGUAUAGCUUCAACUCCCCCUUUCUGAAGAAGUUCUGGCGCAGGUGCCUUUGAAUUAAGACUUCCCUCCGCUCAUUAGAUCUGGAACUCUUCCACCUCCGAAGGUGUCUCUAGCCUACUUAAGUAAGAGCCUACCUUUCCUUUAGAGCGAUCCCCCGUGGUUCUCAAUGUGACCCACGAAUACCACCCACUAGGAGUGGAUCAAAGAGUUGUAAAUGGCAGUUCCAUAUCGAAGUUAGGUUGGAAGCAAUUAGUGGUUAAUCGAUGGGAAGCUUAAAGAGAUGUAACUCAUGUACCGAAGUAGAGUUGUUAGUUUCAGUGUAGUGUACCAGUAUAGCUUAGUACUUAUCUCGCUCAUACCAAGAAAGAGGAAUACGGCGCUUACUGGAGAUAGAGCAGGAAAGGCUAUGUACGGGUAAAGGUAAUCGACCUAUUCGCCUAGUGGCAAUCUUUCACAGAAACAUAGUAGGUCAGGGUACAUGUGGUCUAAGACCUAUUAGCGUACCGGAUAUAGCCAAGUAGUUGGGGAGGUUCACAUCGACAGGUACAAUCUCAUUCCGGUAAAGGUGGUCGAACUUACGGGAGAACUACUUGGGCAAGUUGGGACAGCCUUCGAGGCUGACUUCCCCUUCUUCCGCUUCUCAAGGAGGGGACUUUCUCUCCCAGGUAGAAGUAAGCGAACUACUCCUUCCCUCUGCCUUAGCCCUGCCUCCAACUGCUUCAAUAGCUGCGGUUCAUUUUCCUUUCCUAAUGGCCCUUACUCCCACAACAUAUGAAGAUUAUUAGGAUUAAUCUUCUUUCACUCCUAUUAACUAGAAGGGUGAAAAAGAACUAGGUGCUGUAGGAGAGUUAGCCAUUCAAGAGCGGAUAAGGCGAAAACAAAGGCAUUCGAUGCAUCAUAGACAAAAAGUUCAGCUGUCAGAGCCCCGCGGGGGCGCCGAGAUAUUCUAUGAUCAAAGGCUUUGUGGUUGUCACGAGCUGGAUUCGAACCAUCGAUAAACAAAAGCCUACAUAGCAGUUCCAGUGCUGCGCCUUUUUCCCAAUGUCCCGUAAGUGAAUCAUUUCAUUGAUUGGACCCAUGGACCAAGAUAGAUUGGGCUGGGAGUAAGAGGUCGCGAAGGGGUGAUCCUGGCUGGUUGGUCACGCAGGGGAUAACCAUUGAGCCAAGCAGAUUGCCAUAGAUUCGUGUCCUUGCCGUCACCAAUGACACGUACUCUUCCGCUUUGGAGAAUUGGCUUUUGGCAUAAAUGGACUUCCAGGAAGAGUAGGCCGAGUAUUUAGGCUCCACAUCUAGUGGUCUCGGGAAAGUCUUUUGCUUUCUUGGCAAAUGAAGUCGCGGUACAUGUGAGAAGUCUCCAGAGCAAUUUAGCUUGGAAGGCCUUGUUUUUGAGUGCAAGAGAACGAAUGGCAAGCAGUAGUUGGAGGGAUCACAGCUAGGGUAAAUAGCGCGCCAAAGCUUUAGAAUAUGGUUACGACCUGAUCGGUGUUUAUCAAUAGGCCGAUCCAUCCGACCUUUGGUGGCCCGGUGUCAGAGCGAUCUCCCUCUAAUUACUACAAAGCGCGAAUAAAAAAGCAAUUCUCUUUUUCAUUUAUAAAGAAUGAGGAGAGUCCGCUAAGGUUGUUCCAGGCUAGCUGAGAGCACCCCUAUAUUAUAUGUUGAAAGGGAAUCAGGCCAAUCAAUCGAAAGGAUUGACCUUGAAUCCGCAAACAAAAUGAAUGAUGGAAAUAUCACCAUUCCUCGGUGGAGUGUACUUUCAAGAUCGAGGAGAAUUUGACUCAAACUCAAAAGUCAAAAAGAAAAGCAACCUGAAGCUAGCAUCCCGUGCCUACGGUUGAUAGCCCCUGCUUUAAACCGGCCUUAGUUCGAACUAAACUUGCAAUCGCAUCAGGAGAACGGAUAGAAGCUCCCUCAAGGUCAGAAUCUUUACUAUUAUGAUGUGAACUCUCUAUAUCCAUAUAUUAUGAAAGAAUUUCCAAUGCCUUGUGGUAUACCAGUUUGGAAGAAUAAUUUGGAGAGCGUUGAAUUGGAUAGUUUGUUUGGCUUUAUUGAGGCUUAUGUAAUAUGUCCUACUACUAUAUCACGUCCAUUCUUGCCCUAUAAGGAAGAAGAUGGUACUUUAGUAUUUGCUACAGGUCAUUUCAUUGGUGUUUAUUACAGCGAAGAGUUGAAGUUUGCACGUGAUUUAGGUUACAAUAUAUUACCUCUUAGGGGUUAUUUGUAUGAAAAAAAAGUCCAGUCCUUUCGAAAGCUUUGUCUCACAACUCUAUGAAAGCAGACUAGAAGCCAAGAAACAAGGUGAUGAAGCUAUGAGUUUUAUAUAUAAGAUUCUAAUGAAUUCACUCUAUGGUAGAUUUGGUAUGAAUCCAGAAAGUACUAUAACAGAAAUCUGCACUCAUAAAAGAUAUCUAGAAUGUGUUAGGAUGGAUAAUUUUCAAUCAGGUAAUCAGCUUACCGAUCAAUACUAUAUUGUCAGUUACAUUUCCAAUACAGGCUAUGCAGACCCAAACGAGUGGAAACCACCUAAGAUGUCGGCUGUUCACUUGUCAGCUGCUAUAACAGCUUGUGCUCGUAUUCACAUGUACCCAUACAUAUCAAGAUCUGACUGUUACUACACUGAUACUGACUCUGUUGUUCUAGGAAGUCCUCUUCCUGAUGAUCUAAUCUCCUCCUUUGAAUUAGGUAAGUUUAAACUCGAAUGCACUGUAAAGAAUGGAAUCUUCUUAGCACCUAAGACUUAUCUGUUAGAAUUCGAAGAUGGACGUAUUAUUAAAAACAAAGGUCCUGCAAAAGAUUUACUCACAGAAGAAUGGUUUAAAAAAAUAUUGGAAGAUCUAACUUUAACUGAGGUGAUAUCCACUCAAGCUGACUUCAGAAUCAAUUGGAAAUCAUUCCAGAUUGUAAAAAAAGAAUGACUCGUAAGACUAGGACUACCACGGAGUACGAAAAGAGAGAUAGUCUAUGAUAAGCUUACUAAUAUUUGGAUAGACACACGACCAUUAAAUAAAAUCAAUAUAGGAUCUAAAGAUGCAACCACUAUUUUGAAAUAUGAACUACUAAUGAAAGAAGAAAAAGCUAACUACUUGCUUCUCUGAAGAUAUUUCUAUCGAUCUAACAUAGACUGCGAACGCUCAUUGUUCUAAGCCCCAGGCAUUUAUAUAUUUUUUUUUUAUUUGAAUUUCUUUUUUGAUUAGUGCACCUGGCGAAGCGGCAUUUUUUACCUCUUUUUUAUAAUGCACCAGGCGAGGAGGCCUUUUUGUAUUACCUCUAUAGGGUGCUUCUGAUACUAUAGUGUAUUUUUUAUCUAUCAAAUGCCGUUCAUAGAAGCUUUUUCUCACAAAGGUUGCAGGCACGACUCCCAUGCUGAUGGAACGAACUACGACUUGCAUUGAGCCUAUGCCUUUCCGGCGCACUAACCUGAAAUGAAUCCCUUUUCUAAUCGGAGUGAGAUAGACUCUUUAAUUGGAGGAUAAAAGCGAAGAAAUGCCUACCUACAAUAAUAGAUCUACUCUUCUGUCUCGCCUCCUUACCUUGCUUUUCAACCUUCGCUCAAAUGUUGUAAGGACUGGACCUUAUUCUAUAACCGGACUUGAUGAAAUAGGUCAUUUUUCAAAGAAAUGCGUUUGAUAAGCAUCGGCCCAGCUUCUUUCAUCACGAGAAAGGGGUUCAGUAAAGGGCGGUGAAAAAAGCAAACUGGACUUCCGAACCAAUCGUACAACCCGUUUGGCAAAUAGGUAUCUUGCCCUUUUUUGCACCUUCCGCGGGGUGGUACAGUCAUUGAAACUUCUUCCUUAAGUUCUCCAUUAUAUAAAGCAUUCGUCGACAUCUAACUGGUGGAGCUUCCUGUUCGUCGUUUGCAGCCACUUCAAGAAUCACUCUCAUCGAGGACUUUCUUUUAGCUACAGGAGCAAACAUUUCCAGGUAGUCGAUCCCAUACAUCUGAGUCUAUCCCUUCGCUACAAGACGAGCCUUGUGUCUCUCAAAGGGUCCGUUGAGCACCUCAUGACUAUGUCAUAAUAGAUCCGAACACUAGCUCCGGAUCAACUUCCAGAUCAUAAUUGCUCUAGUAAAGAACUAAAGAAAAUAGAUAAAUGG
rnacentral:lncRNA from 1 species